AACGAACGCUGGCGGCAGGCUUAACACAUGCAAGUUGAACGGGAUUUGUGUGGUGCUUGCACCAUAUAAUGAGGGUAGCGCACUGGUGAGUAACACGUGGGAACGUACCUUUUGGUGGGGGACAACAUCUGGAAACGGAUGCUAAUACCGCAUAAGACCACGGUGCCGCAUGGCACCGGGGUAAAAGAUUUAUCGGUGUGAGAUGGAUCCGCGUCUGAUUAGCCAGUUGGUGGGGUAACGGCCCACCAAGGCGACGAUCGGUAGCCGGACUGAGAGGUUGAACGGCCACAUUGGGACUGAGACACGGCCCAG
rnacentral:rRNA from 1 species